AUCCCAGGAAGUCCCUAAAAGCCCCGCCAGCCCCUCCUUCCGCAGGGUGGGGCGUACCAGGCCAGAACCCGCAGGGAGGGGCGGGGGGAGUCCUCUCUCAUCUUGUUCUCUCGGGAGGAGCCUCAGCUAGUCAGUCACGCCGAAGUUUCUCUUUUCGCUCUUGGCGUUACACCCCAGAUCGGCUUCGUGCGCUCGGCCAGCGGGGCGGAGGAGCCGGGAGACCACAGUCCCGGCGGGGCCGCCCGGCGCUCGCACCCACCCCUGCUCCCCUCCCCCCACCCACACAAAGCCCCGCUCCAGGUCCAGGAUACGUUACCUGCCCGGCGCUCCCGGCCCCUCGGUGACCGCAUCCCCCGCUGGCGCGCCUUGUGCGGGUCCCGCUCCCCGGGACGCACACAGUGGCCGCCCCGGGCCGGCUAAAUCCCCCUCUCUCGUCAUGUUGGGGGGAGAGGGGGGAACGGGGGCAGUGGAAGCGGGGAGGCUGGGCCCAGCGAAACUUACUGGUAAAAUUAAAAAAAAAAAAAAGGUAGAAGCUGCUGGUUUGGGAGGGGGGGUGCUGUCCCGGCCAAGGGCAGAAGAGGCCGGUUACCUUUCGGAGGGUCGAGGGCCGGAGGGAGGGGGUCAGGGAGCGGCCGCCUGCCCCCCUCCCCCGACCCCCAGCGGCGGCGGCAGCUGCACACACAGAAGCCCAUUGUCGCCGGCGCCCGGCGCGCAGCCCCGCGGACUCGGCCCCGCGGCCAAGCGCGUCAGCGGCCCCGUCAGCCGGGCCGGGCUCCGUGACGCGCGCGCAGCCAGCUCUAUAAAUAACCCGCCGCCGCCGGGCGGCUCGGGCGGCUUUCCAGUGACGCCGGGCAGGGCGCGGGAGGAGGAGGGCGCGCGGAAACAAUAAAGCCGCCCGCCCGCCCGCCCCCCCGGCCUCCCUCCGCCCUCCCCCGGCCGCCGCGGGCCCUUCCCGCCGCGCUCGGCUUUCCCCGCCCCGGCCCGCCCUGUUCCGAGCGCCGCUCGCGGGUGGGAAGGGCCGAGGCGAGCCCGGCCCCCGAGUUUAGUGAAGGGGUCGCUGUGUUACUUACUCCCGGCCCGGUUUCUACCUCUGGAGGCUUUCUCCGCUCUCCCACACCCGUUCUAGUACAGGUCUCCUUCUGGCUGUUCAUUGUUCAUAGCUAGGAAGAGGCCAAAGGAAGGGCAAACAAAAGUGAUCUAUAAGUAUUUUUGGCUUUGUUUUAUAAAAUCCUGAAAUUUCAAGGGGAAAAAAUUCCAGGACACUGCCUAAGUAUCUUGAAAAAGCUUCAAAAGGGAAAGGAUUUCCUUGAAACUGGAAGAAGGAUUUUCCUGGGCACAUACAAGGGGAGAGAGAAACAGAGAAUGAUCAGCAUUUCCUGAGGAGAAACACGGAACUGGGAGCUGAUACUGGAGGAGUCGCCCAAGAAGAGAACCAGGAGUUGGCAGAGAAGUCUAUAAGGUCAUGCUUCUAGCAUCCAGGUGCAUCAUGGAAGAGGAAUCAUUGCGCAAAUGCCACUAGACUCACUCAUCUGUACCAGGAAUUAUACUAGUUCUUCUUUCCAUUGACCAUUAACACCCAGGUAGCCACAGUGAAUGGUCAGGACUUGUGUGGGAGCCACCAGGAAGCAUCUCUCUCUUUUUUUUUUGUUCUCUGCACUUCAACAUGGAGAGAUGUAAACUGCCACCACACAUCAAGAGUCUGCUGGAGGAUAGAGCCAACACAGACAAAGUGGAUCCAAGAGAUGAAGAAGGAAAAAUUGGGUGCUGAAGACAUUUGAGCCUGGAUCAAGCUAUUCUUGGAGCUAAACCUAUCAUCAGAUUCUCAAGUUAUCUUCUGGCCUUGCCCCAAGCCUGUGAGAGAUCUGGUUAGUGUUUAUGAACUGCAUUCCCGAUGGGUGGAAGCAAGCAACCCUCCUGCCUUCUCUCAAGUUGCUCUUCAGCAGACUUCUCUGGUCUUUUCUGUACCUUUGUCAUGGAAGAAUUCCAGGACUGUGAUGGCUCAGAUUAAUCUAAAUCAUUUGGAAAAGUUUUCAUUCAAAUCCUAACCUCAUGAUGAAAUGUGUAUCAAAACUGAAUCUAAUCACAAAUAACAGCCACAGAAGAAUCUUUAAAUACCUCCUACUACAGGAUUAUUUCUUUAUGAUGCAAGUUGAAAUUAAAGGCAAUGUGUAAAAUUCUUCAAGGCAAUAAAUAAAUAAAGCAAUAAAAUGGGGUGCCUGGGUGGCUCAGUUGGUUAAGUGCUUGCCUUUGGCUCAGGUCAUGAUCCCAGGGUCCUGGGAUCAAGCCCCACUUCAGGCUCCCUCUACAUCUGCCAGUCUCCCUGCCUGUGCUCUCUCUCUCAAAUAAAUAAAAUCUUUAAAAAAAAACACAAUGAAAUAAAGUAAAAAUUCAAAAUAGUAAGCAAAAAAUAAGGAAUCUCUCUCAAAUUCCUGCCAGAAUUUUCCUAUUUAUGUAUGCUGGGGAUCUCGUGUGUAUAGCCUCCAAACUAUAU